GCGAAAGUGGCGGAAUUGGUAGACGCGCUAGAUUCAGGUUCUAGUGGGCAUUAGCCUGUGGGGGUUCAAGUCCCCCCUUUCGUACCA
rnacentral:tRNA from 1 species